GAUGAACGCUAGCGGCAGGCCUAAUACAUGCAAGUCGGACGGGAUUGAGAAGCUUGCUUUUCAUGAGAGUGGCGCACGGGUGCGUAACACGUAUGUAACCUACCUUAAUCAGGGGGAUAGCCUCUCGAAAGAGAGAUUAACACCGCAUAAAAUCAAUUUAUAGCAUCAUAGAAUGAUCAAAUUUUUAUAGGAUUAAGAUGGGCAUGCGGAACAUUAGCUAGUUGGUAAGGUAACGGCUUACCAAGGCUACGAUGUGUAGGGGAUCUGAGAGGGUGACCCCCCACACUGGUACGGAGACACGGACCAGACUCCUACGGGAGGCAGCAGUAAGGAAUAUUGGUCAAUGGGCGCAAGCCUGAACCAGCCAUGCCGCGUGCAGGAAGACGGCCCUACGGGUUGUAAACUGCUUUUGUACCGGAAUAAACCUUUGUAUGUAUACGAAGCUGAAUGUACGGUAAGAAUAAGGAUCGGCUAACUCCGUGCCAGCAGCCGCCGUAA
rnacentral:rRNA from 1 species